AAUAUUUUGCAUUCUCCGGUAACUUGCGUAACUGAUAUGGAAAAAAUAAAGAUCCUGCUGUUGAUCUCUCUGAUUUACAUUACUGAAUUUUCUUCCGUUACGAGCCUCCAGGUGUGUACUGGCAAUGAAGGGCUGGGAAAAUGCCGUUAUUAUUACAUAGCAAAGAAAAGACCCUUCUAUAUAAUGGAAGACCCUUCUAUCGGACAGGCAUCAAGAUAAGUAUAAAAGCUUCGCCUUGCACACGUCUGAAUCCAUGGAGGGGCGAUAAAUGAACUCUUUGGAAUUCCUCGCUUAUAUUAAUUUUUUGUUUUCAUUCGUCUUCUUAUUGCUGUACCCCGCAAUCGAUUUCAUCCUUUUUUGUAUUUUAUUUUAAGGUUUAAUUUAAUGUUUCGUUUCUGUAAUUUUCUUUAAACAUUUUCCUUGCCCAAGGGCAUGGCCGACUUCAACAAUUAUUAUUAAAUAAGUAAAUAAAAUUUCCUGUUCUAA